UCCCUGAUAGCUCAGUUGGUAAAAGAAUCUGCCUGUAAUGCAGGAGACCUAGGUUCGAUCCCUGGGUUGAGAA
rnacentral:tRNA from 1 species